CACUACCAUGGAUGGCAUGGUUUACCCACUGAGGUCCAUCAACCUCUUCACUGACACCACUCGUUGGACUACAAGCUACCCACGCUGUCAUGUUCUGACUGAUUUUCACUGUGCUGUCUUAUGUGGGUGACAGCAUGUUUGCCUGCUGCUGCUCCACAAAGACCAAAUCAGCUAUAUGACAAUACCAGGAUAACCGGCAGGAAGUAUGGACAAUCUCCAAUGGGACAGUAUCCAUUCAGAACCAACUAUGCAAUAACAUUAUCACUUAGAUGGCUUUCACAUGGUUACCCAAUACUAUCUGUCUGUGCUAAUAAUGAAGACCUGUCUGUAAACUCCUUGUUUGGGAGGUGGAUAUGUCUGACAGAAAGUUGAUGAUCAGCGCAGUUAAGUUUUGGCUAACUGCAACACC